rnacentral:tRNA from 1 species
GAUGGUACAGCUCAGUGGCACAGCACAUGCCUGGUGAGCAUGAGGUCCUUGGUUCAAUGCUCAGUGCCUCCA